AAUUAUAGCAGGAGGAGGGCGGAGCGAGCACCGCAGACCUGGGACCCGCGUUAGAUCGUGCAGUCUCACCGCCUAGUUAGGGCGGGCGGAGGAGGGGACCUCCAACCGCGAUCCCCGUGGGGGGGUGUUUUCCCUGUCCCACGGAGGCCGCGCCUCCCUCGCCGGACCUGAAAGAGAAAAGAGCAAAGCUUGCAGAGGCUGCAGAGAGAAGACAGAAGGAGGCUGCAUCUCGAAGUAUUCUGAAUGUUCAGUCUGUGGAAGAAAAGAGAAGAAAAAAGAAAAAAUAGAAAAAAAAAAGGCUACAUCUGAACCCCCACCAGAAGGUGGACUUGGAUGGACAGUUUCAUAAAGCACAGCAUGAAUGGAAGAGUCUACUGCCAGUAACUAAUACCUACAAUCAAGUGGACAUCCUCAGUUUAAUUUCUUCUCUUUGAAUAAAUGAAGGUUCAGACUUUGUAAUUUUAGUGCUCUCAAGUGCAGUGCUUUUUCAAAAUUGAAUAUUGAAAAUGCUUUUGAUUAUUAGAGUUAGAAAGUGGCCAGACCUUUCAUUAAAUUCUUAUUUUCCCUACCUUUGCUUUUCUGCAGAUGGUGGGUGAUUUGCCACUUUUUAGUAGUUAAAACAUUGACCUAAAUAGUGAAUAUAGAUUUGUAUAUUGCAUGGAAAAAUUCUGCAUAUGUCUCAGAUAUUUAAAGUUGCACUUGUAUUUUCUCUCCUUUAUGAAAUGAUCUAGCUCUUUAUAAUUUGCCGCUUAACCUUAUAUCUCAUUAUUUCAUUAUAUGUGAAGACUUUUGCUUAAACUUGUGGACUUAGUGCCUUUUAAACUGAUCAUCAGGGAAAAUCUUGAAAAAUCAUUUGAAGGGCUUAUAUGAAGGAACACUGUAAAUUUUUAUAACUUACUAAGAAAUGAAUAUUUAUUUCUAGAGAACAUAAAACAUCUAAUUUCUAUUUCUGUAGCUUAUAAAAUUAACAUACUCUCUUUUACAUUAUAAUAAAGUAUUUUUUUUGCUUGCUGAAUUUAAAAUUAUAUGUUAGUGAUGCCAUCAGAGGGCAGCGAUGUACAAUAUACAGUAUUGGAUUCAACUCUAUAAAGAUCUUUGUAGUAAGUGAAUGAGUUAGAUUAAGAAUGGAUGGGUUAUACUUAGUGCGACUGUGUUUGUCCAAAUUUUAUAGGUGUUUUUAUUCUUUUUUAUUUAUUAAUGAAUGCUUAUAAGAUUUUUAAUGUGAAAUUGCCAAGGCCAGUAUGAAUGUAUGAGAGAACUAUGUAAGUAUUGUAUUUAAAAAGGUCUACUUUACACAUAAAAAUAUUGCAGGGUAAUUCUGUGUGAUGCAUUGCCAUAAACUUUUUAGAUGUUUGUUCAUUGGUAACACUUAUUAUAGCAAUUUUGGUCUUUUGAGUUUCUUGAUAUAUAAUAAGCUAAAACAGAAGAAUUACUGUAUCUUUUAAUUUGGUUGCUCUUUUGGAUGACAAGGCCACAGUCUGAGCCCUAAAUUAGAAUUUUCAGGUAGUAAAUGAAAUAAGGAUUGUAAAUUAAAGAGACCAACUCACCUAAUCUACAGAAAGGAAACUGAACUACUAUCUCGCUCAUCCCUCCCACAAAUCUUGUGUUAUAUGAUGUAUUUUAAUUUUAAAGACUUCAAACUAUAAUAUAGAUCUCUUGACUCAAUUGAAAAAAUCGCUUUCUUCGAUUAUGNNNNNNNNNNNNNNNNNNNNNNNNNNNNNNNNNNNNNNNNNNNNNNNNNNNNNNNNNNNNNNNNNNNNNNNNNNNNNNNNNNNNNNNNNNNNNNNNNNNUUUAAAAGUCUACUUUAAACAAAUAUAUUGCAAGGUAAUUCUAUGUGAUGCCCUGCCAUAAACUUUUUAGAUUUUUGCUCAUUGGUAAUAUGUAUUAUAGAAUUUUUGGCCUUUUGAGUUUUUAAUAUAUAAUGAGCUAAAGUAGAAGAAUUACUGCAUUUUUUAAUUUGGUUGCUAUUUUGGAUGAUAAGGCCAAAGUCUGAGCCCUAAAUUGGAAUUUUCAGGUAUUAAGUCCAACAAGGAUUAUAAAUUAAAUAGACCAACUCACCUUAUUUACAAAAAGGAAACUGGACUACUAUCUUGCUCAUCCCUCUUACAAAUCUUGUUUUAUAUUGCAGUAUAUUAUGUAUUUUAAUUUUAAAGAGUUUGAACUGUAAUAUAGAUCUCUUGACUCCUCAUUGGAAAAAUUAUUUUCUUUGAUUAUUGAAUGAAAUAUUCUGUGACUAUCCAGGCAAGAUAUGUAGUUAUAGACAGGUUCAAUUUUCUUUAUCCUUUAGAGAAUUGGUGGUAUGUUUGUUCAUGAAAGAUCAUGAAGUCAUUGGAUUAUAUUUUAGAAAUAAAAUUUUUGACUUAAAAUUUACAACAGAAAUUUAUUAUUUUUUUUAAGGAAGCAAUUUUUAAAAGCAGCUACUAUUCAGAGAAAAAAAAAAGAGCUCUUAGAAAUCAAAACCAGUAAAAAUAAAAAUUCAAUAGAAAUUCAAUAGAAAGACUAGAGAAUAAAGUUGAAAAUUAAUGGUUGGGAAUCUGCCUGCCAAUGCAGGAGACAUGGCUUCAAUCCCUGAUCCAUGAAGAUUCCACAAGCCUCAGAGCAACUAAGCCUGUGCGCCACAACUCCUGAUCCAGCGCUCUAGACCCUGGGGUCUGCAACAGGAGAAGCCACUCCAGUGAGAAGCCUGAGCAUCACAAUGAAGUGAUCCCUCUCUCCACAACUAGAGAAAGGUCAUGCAUGCAAAAGUGAAGACCCAGUGCAGCCAUAAAUAAACAAAUAAGUAAGUCUUU
rnacentral:lncRNA from 1 species